UUUUAGUUUGAUUCAGGCUCAGGAUGAACGCUGGCGGCGUGCCUAAUACAUGCAAGUCGAGCGAACUGAUUAGAAGCUUGCUUCUAUGACGUUAGCGGCGGACGGGUGAGUAACACGUGGGCAACCUGCCUGUAAGACUGGGAUAACUUCGGGAAACCGAAGCUAAUACCGGAUAGGAUCUUCUCCUUCAUGGGAGAUGAUUGAAAGAUGGUUUCGGCUAUCACUUACAGAUGGGCCCGCGGUGCAUUAGCUAGUUGGUGAGGUAACGGCUCACCAAGGCAACGAUGCAUAGCCGACCUGAGAGGGUGAUCGGCCACACUGGGACUGAGACACGGCCCAGACUCCUACGGGAGGCAGCAGUAGGGAAUCUUCCGCAAUGGACGAAAGUCUGACGGAGCAACGCCGCGUGAGUGAUGAAGGCUUUCGGGUCGUAAAACUCUGUUGUUAGGGAAGAACAAGUACAAGAGUAACUGCUUGUACCUUGACGGUACCUAACCAGAAAGCCACGGCUAACUACGUGCCAGCAGCCGCGGUAAUACGUAGGUGGCAAGCGUUAUCCGGAAUUAUUGGGCGUAAAGCGCGCGCAGGCGGUUUCUUAAGUCUGAUGUGAAAGCCCACGGCUCAACCGUGGAGGGUCAUUGGAAACUGGGGAACUUGAGUGCAGAAGAGAAAAGCGGAAUUCCACGUGUAGCGGUGAAAUGCGUAGAGAUGUGGAGGAACACCAGUGGCGAAGGCGGCUUUUUGGUCUGUAACUGACGCUGAGGCGCGAAAGCGUGGGGAGCAAACAGGAUUAGAUACCUGGGUAGUCCA
rnacentral:rRNA from 1 species